AGUGAACGCUGGCGGUAGGCCUAAUACAUGCAAGUCGAACGGCAGCACAGUAAGAGCUUGCUCUUACGGGUGGCGAGUGGCGGACGGGUGAGGAAUACAUCGGAAUCUACUUUUUCGUGGGGGAUAACGUAGGGAAACUUACGCUAAUACCGCAUACGACCUACGGGUGAAAGCAGGGGAUAUUCGGACCUUGCGCGACUGAAUGAGCCGAUGUCGGAUUAGCUAGUUGGCGGGGUAAAGGCCCACCAAGGCGACGAUCCGUAGCUGGUCUGAGAGGAUGAUCAGCCACACUGGAACUGAGACACGGUCCAGACUCCUACGGGAGGCAGCAGUGGGGAAUAUUGCACAAUGGGCGCAAGCCUGAUCCAGCCAUGCCGCGUGAGUGAAGAAGGCCUUCGGGUUGUAAAGCCCUUUUGUUGGGAAAGAAAAGCAGCAGAUUAAUACCCCGCUGUUCUGACGGUACCCAAAGAAUAAGCACCGGCUAACUUCGUG
rnacentral:rRNA from 1 species